rnacentral:rRNA from 1 species
CCUACGGGAGGCAGCAGUGAGGAAUAUUGGUCAAUGGACGAGAGUCUGAACCAGCCAAGUAGCGUGAAGGAUGACUGCCCUAUGGGUUGUAAACUUCUUUUAUAAAGGAAUAAAACGAGGCACGUGUGCCUUUCUGCAUGUACUUUAUGAAUAAGGAUCGGAUAACUCCGUGCCAGCAGCCGCGGUAAUACGGAGGAUUCGAGCGUUAUCCGGAUUUAUUGGGUUUAAAGGGAGCGUAGAUGGGUUGUUAAGUCAGUUGUGAAAGUUUGCGGCUCAACCGUAAAAUUGCAAUUGAUACUGGCAGUCUUGAGUACAGUUGAGGUAGGCGGAAUUCGUGGUGUAGCGGUGAAAUGCUUAGAUAUCACGAAGAACCCCGAUUGCGAAGGCAGCUUACUAAACUGUGACUGACAUUGAUGCUCGAAAGUGUGGGUAUCAAACAGGAUUAGAUACCCCGGUAGUC